UACGUAGGGUGCAAGCGUUGUCCGGAAUUAUUGGGCGUAAAGAGCUUGUAGGCGGUUUGUCGCGUCUGCUGUGAAAUUUCGGGGCUCAACCCCGAACUUGCAGUGGGUACGGGCAGACUAGAGUGUGGUAGGGGAGACUGGAAUUCCUGGUGUAGCGGUGAAAUGCGCAGAUAUCAGGAGGAACACCGAUGGCGAAGGCAGGUCUCUGGGCCACUACUGGCGCUGAGAAG
rnacentral:rRNA from 1 species